rnacentral:rRNA from 1 species
GAUGAACGCUGGCGGCGUGCCUAAUACAUGCAAGUCGAGCGAAUGGGUUGAGAGCUUGCUCUUAUGAAGUUAGCGGCGGACGGGUGAGUAACACGUGGGUAACCUGCCCAUAAGACUGGGAUAACUCCGGGAGACCGGGGCUAAUACCGGAUAACAUUUUGAACCGCAUGGUUCGAAAUUGAAAGGCGGCUUCGGCUGUCACUUAUGGAUGGACCCGCGUCGCAUUAGCUAGUUGGUGAGGUAACGGCUCACCAAGGCAACGAUGCGUAGCCGACCUGGGAGGGUGAUCGGCCACACUGGGACUGAGACACGGCCCAGACUCCUACGGGAGGCAGCAGUAGGGAAUCUUCCGCAAUGGACGAAAGUCUGACGGAGCAACGCCGCGUGAGUGAUGAAGGCUUUCGGGUCGUAAAACUCUGUUGUUAGGGAAGAACAAGUGCUAGUUGAAUAAGCUGGCACCUUGACGGUACCUAACCAGAAAGCCACGGCUAACUACGUGCCAGCCGCCGCAGUAA